GUUAUCCUACGGGGGGCAGCAGUGAGGAAUAUUGGUCAAUGGACGCAAGUCUGAACCAGCCAUGCCGCGUGCAGGAAGACGGUCCUAUGGAUUGUAAACCUCUUUUGUCGGGGAGCAAAGAGAUCACGUGUGGUCAAAAGCGAGGGUACCCGAAGAAAAAGCAUCGGCUAACUCCGUGCCAGCAGCCGCGGUAAUACGGAGGAUGCGAGCGUUAUCCGGAUUUAUUGGGUUUAAAGGGUGCGUAGGCGGGACGGUAAGUCAGCGGUAAAAAUGCGGAGCUCAACUCCGUCGAGCCGUUGAAACUG
rnacentral:rRNA from 1 species